rnacentral:rRNA from 1 species
CCUACGGGUGGCAGCAGUGGGGAAUAUUGGGCAAUGGACGCAAGUCUGACCCAGCAACGCCGCGUGAAGGAAGAAGGCCUUCGGGUUGUAAACUUCUUUUAAGGGGGAAGAGCAGAAGACGGUACCCCUUGAAUAAGCCACGGCUAACUACGUGCCAGCAGCCGCGGUCAUACGUAGGUGGCAAGCGUUGUCCGGAUUUACUGGGUGUAAAGGGCGUGCAGCCGGAGAGGCAAGUCAGAUGUGAAAUCCGCCGGCUCAACCGGUGAACUGCAUUUGACACUGUCUGCCUUGAGUGUCGGAGAGGUGAGCGGAAUGCGUGGUGUAGCGGUGAAAUGCGUAGAUAUUAGGAAGAACACCAGUGGCGAAGGCGGAUGACUGGACGGCAACUGACGGUGAGGCGCGAAAGCGUGGGGAGCAAACAGGAUUAGAUACCCUUGUAGUC